UUUGCUGUGCUUCAAGCCUGAUUCUACUGGAGACAACACAAUACAAAGAUUUCAUGUUUUUCUUGCAAGUAGUCUGUACUAUUCCCAAAACCUAUAGUGUCUAGCAGAUGGUAAAAACAGACUUUUUUUUUAAAAAAAGUCACGCUUCUAACAUGCUGUCAAUUUCCCCCUUAAACUGACAUCUACAAAUCUCCUUUACUAGAUUCAGCCAGCCAUUUGUAUGAACGAAGCAGCUGGCCUUAUCAACUCACAGAAUAUUGAUUACUAAUACUGUGAAUUCAACGAGGAUUUCGAGUAUUUACCAGCUAUACCAGCUGCAUAACUCACAAGGUCAUCCCUGCCACAGUUAUACAACUCACCCCGUUUAGACAAAGCUUUCCGCUCGUAUAGCACAGCACUUGGUAAAAAAAUGCGAGCAAUGAGAGUCCAAUUCAUCUGUCAAUUGACUGAGACAAAGAUUACUCACAGAGCUCAGCUGUUUGACACACAUGUCUCCAGCAGAUUCAAAAAUAUAUUUGCAGUGGUACAGCAAUCAAUUCCCUCUAGAGUUUAUGUAUGCCAACAACACUCAUAAGAGGAAGUGGCAAGCCUCACACCACAUAUUUGUGGGAAUUUACUGCUCCCAAAAGAUCAGAAAUCCCACUCUACACAUGGACUGCAAUGGCUGCUUAGACUUAGGACAUAUUCUCUAUUCUUCCUACUGGAGAACCACAAUAUACAGCAGUUCUGAAACUAGGGUAAAGCACCAAAAGAAUGAACCCCAUGGCCACCACUUGCUGGAGAGUUGUUAAAAAUACAGUGGACAACAUGGUUGGGAAGAGGUGAAAGUAGGAAUUGAGGUAAGGUUACAAAACCAGUAAAAAGCAGUAUGAAAUUUGGAAGAAGGUAUUAGACACUAAACAACAACAUGUAUCACUGCCUAAAUGCAGAAAAAAUGUGUAUGUUUAAUCAUGAUUCUCUGUUUAACUUCAUGAGCAAAUUUCUAGCUCCACUGAAUCAGGAACAAAAGCUGAGAUUUUAAGAGAGUGCAGCCAUUCUUUCAAACAUUUAAGGUGCUUAAGACAUUAAAAAUAAUAAAAAUCAGCAGAAGUCCAUGGUUAGAAUGUAGCUAAAGUCUGUAAGCUUUGAAUGUUUCACACUAUUUUUGCUAUCACAGGUGAGAAACAGCAAACUACCUACUUGAAUUGGUUCAGUGAUAAAUCCAGCUAUUGUCUUUGAUACUGAGGUAUUCAGAGUAUCUUUGAACUGUUCAAUGUACUGGUCCUUUGCAUGACAUAUACCUGUUCACAGGGGAAUAGUUUAAAUGGAAUUUACUUUAAAUGACACAAAAUUAGCUUCAAAACAUGAAAAUAUGCACCUAAUCAACAAGUAUUAUCUGACUGCAUGUUAAAUAUCACCUGUCAAAAACACAAUAGAAGGCUAAACAUUAAAGGAGAGAGUCCCUUAUUUUCUCUUAAAUGAUUCAUACUCUAAGGAAUGACAAAACAGCAAGGCAAAGCCAACAGAUGAUGUUACACAUUGUAUAGGUCAGUAAGCUGUAGGUUAGAGACAGUGUUUGUGAAUCACCUACAUAAGCAGAAGGAAUAAACAGACACUUUCUUAGGGGUUAAUAAACAUUAAUGUAAGACAUGAGGAAUCAUUAGGUUAAUGUAAGUAUAAGGAUUCUGGAAAAUAGAGCUGCACAUCAGUCUAUACUGAAAUAAAGAACAGUAUAGCUAACACACCUAUCCACUGGGGAUGGCAAAGCUAGAAAAAAAAUUAUUACGUAUGCACGUGAAUUAAAAUACUACAGAGUUGAAACUGCGCAAAUAAUUCACUGUAACUGUUGUUAACAGGAGCAGUAAAGGAGCUUUCACUUUGUGCUGUGUGCAGAAUGGUUUGUUGCAUGGCUUUUUGCGUAUCAUGGGCUACAGGUUAUCCUUGUUAUUCAUUCAUUUACUCCAAAACAAAAGCUGGAGAGCUGUCAAAACUUCAGAAACAGCUGUUACGGUCAGUGCUGGAAACACCAAUCAACACUUCUGUUCCUUCAGAUGUGCCAAACUGAGUUCCACAGCUUCCAGAGUUGAUCAUAACAAAUGCUGGAAACAAAGGCUGGGAUUUUAAGAACAGAUCUUUCUCAGUGGAAAGCAGAUGCUUUAUGCCUUCUGCAAUAUUUUCUUUGGUCACUCUUGCAAAUCCUACCCGGAGGUCUAUCUUCCUCCAGGUAUAACCUAUUUCCACAGCCCUCUAGUAUUCUCUAAUCUAAAAGCCAAAUACUUCUUGUCAUUGACCAACCUUCAGAACAGGUGCAUUUUCGAACAGUUUGCACUGGAGAAUCUCUACAAUGGCUGCCUCCCCAUGGACCACGAAAAACGUCUGGUAACAUUGUCUGCCAAGCAUAAGAGAUAGCUACAGGUUUGAUGAGACCUUUCUAAAAGAUGUUUUGAUCAUACUUAGGGAUGACUAGUGAAAAAAAAACCAAAAACCAACCCCAAAAAAGUCUGUUAGAGUCAAAGGGGAUACCUGGUUCAAGCAACUUGUCUGAAAAACACUUGUAGAGUAACCCUGAACUUCUCCCUCAAGAAAUGGUAGAACAGAGACAGUUUUGGAACCAAUAAGUUCCAGCAAUAGUCAGUCAGUUGAUAAUUUCCUUUGUUUUGUUCUUUGUUAGUCAGAAGUUUUGGUUAUCUCAGAUUAAUAGCAAUGUUUUUAGAGUUUCUAGUAGUACUUUAAUAAUCCAAAGUAUGUUAAAAAUCUGCAAAAUACAGGGAGGCAGGCAGAUCUAGUAAAGUAAUUACUGGCUGGAAAUUUUGAGCUCCAGCCUUCAAAUUGUGUCUUGUGACAAAAUACCACAUGACUUCAGACAACUCAUUUAUUGAGCCAGGUUAGUAGGCUGUUACAAAGGAGCCUUUCUAUAGCCAGUGCUGUGGCUGAGCUAUCACCAGAACAAAUCAGAGUAGCCAGUGCCAGCUUCCUAUCUGUUCAAGGGCAGGGAGAUAACACAUUGCCAUCUACCCCCAGUUGAUAUGUCUCCUGUCUUGCUGAAACAAGAGACAUCACAGGGGUAUUUUUUUUUCAUUCCAGGGGAGGAUCUGCUUCAGACUAGCUGAAAGCAGCUUUGCACAGAUUUGCCAAAACAAACUUGUGAAAAGGGCUUCAGAACAUUAAUUUGCACCUUACCAUGCAAGCAUUAAACAUGACUAAAGAACUCUAAAUCAUCAACACUCAUGUUAUGGCUGUCCCAUCUCCAAAUUAGCAUAAGUAACCUUAUGGAGAAGGAAAGGGGACUGUGGCUUCUUCUACUUACAUAGCAGGACAGCUACAUUGUAGCUAGUGACCAUAAAGGACUUCAAGAAUAGAAAAUGUACUAAUGGUUAAAAUAUUCAACAAUAAACUGUUAGUUACCCAGAUUAUUUUCUGAAAAUAAAAAAUAAUAAAAAUCUCACUGUUAAACAACCAAAGCCAUUGGCAACACCAUGCUUAUAAAGACCAACAGAUGUCAAUCCCAGCGUGUAAGGGCUCCCUCCAUGGUAUGCUCCUCUGUGAAAACAAAGAAAGUAGAUGAACAUCACUCAUUUCCAAGAAGCAACUGUAGCAAUGUUAUUAGUUCUAAGAAGGUAGGUUUCUGAGCUAUAAAUUAUUAGGGAAAAUGAGCAUUGUUACACUUGAAACACAAAUAUUCCUACUGCAAUUUUCCUCUGGUUCUGGAAGACUCAUGACUACUAUCUGCACUGGUUUCCUGAAAUUUCAAAAGUUAAAAUUGUAAGGUAAUGUUUUCAAGGAGAAGAGAACAAUGACUGGAACCAAAAGCAAUUCCAACAGUGUCUCAUGAAGUUCUGCUGUAGCAUCUGAGCCCUACACAGCAAACAUACCUGUUCUUUGAAUCUAUGGAACUGCUGCUCUCUCCAACAGAUGCUGCAAUCAUUAAGCCACAUGGUGAUUCGCUACCAGUUUUAUUGGCAAAUCAGAAGUUCAUUAAUGAUAAUAUAUAAGCAAGACAUCCCCUUCACCAGCCCCUGGUCCUGUAAGGAGGAAAGUACCUUAAGUGGAUCUGGAAAAAGAGAAGUUAGCUUUUCAGCAUACUCCUGGAUUGAUGGGUGCAUGUAGAUACUAGAGGUAUGCCAGAGGCGAGCUAGCUGUUUCUGGGUAGCCAUAGUUACUUUCCUGUACAUAGCAUAAAAAGAGACAAAGGGAUUCAAUUCCACACACGUGCACUCAUACCAGCACACACCCAUCUGUUAUUAAUCCUGAAAACUCAGACACUGUGCCAUUUGCCAGAUCGAUGAGCAAGUAAACAGAAUCGAUUAAUCUUUCAAAAUGCAGAGGAAACUGACCUUAAUAUAAAUCAUACAGGACAAUACAGUGAACUAUAUUCUGCUUUUAGGCUCACAAUGCCACAGAUUAACAAAGAUCAAAACAAAAGUAUCUUUUCCUGUAUUUUAUAGCAUCAAUCAAAUAGUAACAUACUCACGGGUGACAAUGACCAACACCAACAGUGACAAUUCCAGCAAAGAGAUCAAGGUAUCUUCGUCCUUCAUAAUCAAAUAACCACUGCAUGUGUCCUUGAUGCAGCAACAAUGGCUUCUUGUAAAAUGUUCGCAAUGAAGGAGAAAUAUUUUGUUCACGAAUCUUCUGCAUGCGUUCAUAUGAAUGGGACUGAGUGGAAUAAAAAAAGUCAGUAUCCAAUUAUGCUUUCUAAAGAUCGAGACUAAUGGAGCUGUAGUGAAUCACAUAGAUUACACAGCUGUCUAUAGCAGCUGUUCACAGAACUAAGACUUUAACAAAUUCUGUCACGUAUAAGGUUCUACAAACCCCUGAAACUCAGCUUUUGAAGUAAGACUUCUGUUCUGCACUUCUCUCUUCCUUAGCUUUUCAAAUCAACAGUGUAGCCAACCUGUUACAGAACUGCCACACAGGUACAUCUAUAGGUUACAUCCUGAUUCGAACAGAAUUAGUUUUUGUCCAAACUACCAAAUUUUUUAAUCGUAUUUCAUGAACUGACUAUUUAUAGCAGAUAAGCCUAUCAGUCCAAUCUAGUAAUGCAGUCUUACUUAAAUACAGUGGAGUAUGCAUGACUUACUUUGUAUUUUUCAGGUACAAAAUUGCAAGGAGGCAUUUUUGCUUUUGUGGAGACAGAGCUUUUCCAUUUCUGCUGCCUAAAGACAACUACAAAAUAGUAACAGAAUUACCAAACACUUAUAAAAGUGCACAUCUGAAAAAGUUUCUCAAUAAGCUUAUUCACACACAAGCUACAAUCAAAGCAGGUUUUGGUGUGUGUUUUGGUGAGAUUUUUUUUUUGAGAUAUUUUCUUGUGGGAAAAAGAAAGCAAAAUAUAUGUAGAUUUUGAACCCACAAAUGCACCUUCCUCUUAUCCACUAAAAUCCAGUUCUCAUUUUCACAUGAACUUUUAUUUUGAUAGGGGGUUUCUAAUACAAAUUCUUAUCUGUGAGCAGCAAGAGCAGGAAUCCUCUCCAAGUGUGUGCCAGGAGCCCAGGGUGACCACAGCCCUAGUGGUACUCUUGGGGACCAGAGUACAGUCCCAACAGACCUGAACAAACCACGGUCCACUGAGAGUGACCACCUAAGCGGAGGAGAGGAAUCGCAUCCAGAGUCCACCCAGAAAGUCCAGUCAGGAGCAGCAGCAGAUGGGGCCAGAAACAGGGCUGGAGACAACAUAGGUCCAAGGUCCAUCCAAGAGACAAGGCCAGAGGCUACCUGGUGGCAGGGACUGAAGGGUCAGAGCUGAGCUGAAACAGGGCUCCUGGGCAGUGGGCACAGGCUCUGCGUCAUGGCUGUUACAGCUCUCCCUGACAUCUUCUGUCCUUUUUCCAAAUCCCUGAAAACUUCACACUGUUCCACCUUGCAUUUAACUGGAAGUCCAAUUAAUCAGGUAUCAGAAAAAGUUAACAUAGAAUCACAUAAUGGACUGGGUUGGAAGGGAGCUUAGGGAUCAUCUGGUAAAAUAUAUACUCUGCAUUCCUAACAUCUGUAGAGAACUACACAUUUAGUUUUAAAUGUCUAAGGUUUUAAACAAUUUCUAAAACACGUUAAAAAGUACAUGAACGAAGAAUAAAGUUUCCUGAAGUAAAUUACAUAUGCUGUUACUUCCCUUACAACCACCUAAAGCACCAAUGAAUUACCCAUCUACAUGAGUCUCAAAAGUAUUAAAGAAAGGCUAUAAGUUACA